CCAUUGAUGGAGAUGGUC
rnacentral:snRNA from 1 species